GCCCAGAUAGCUCAGGUCUGUGUAGAGCAUCAGACUUUUAAUCUGAGGGGUCCAGGGUUCAAGUCCCUGUUUGGGCG